rnacentral:tRNA from 1 species
GGUGCUAUAGUGUAGAGGUUAUCACUUGGGAUUCUGAGGCAUCCGUAUGCUUGCAAGGUGCUUUCCCAAAACCCAGGUUCGAGUCCUGGUAGUACCU